rnacentral:rRNA from 1 species
CUACAGGCCGCUGCAGUGAGGAAUAUUGCACAAUGGGGGGAACCCUGAUGCAGCAACGCCGCGUGGAGGAUGACGCAUUUCGGUGUGUAAACUCCUUUUAUAUGUCAAGAAAAUGACGGUAACAUAUGAAUAAGCACCGGCUAACUCCGUGCCAGCAGCCGCGGUAAUACGGAGGGUGCAAGCGUUACUCGGAAUCACUGGGCGUAAAGGACGCGUAGGCGGGUUGGAAAGUCAGGUGUGAAAUCCUACAGCUUAACUGUAGAACUGCACUUGAAACUUCUAAUCUAGAGUAUGGGAGGGGGAGAUGGAAUUAGUGGUGUAGGGGUAAAAUCCGUAGAUAUCACUAGGAAUACCUAAAGCGAAGGCGAUCUCCUGGAACAUUACUGACGCUAAGGCGUGAAAGCGUGGGGAGCAAAUAGGAUUAGAUACCCCCGUAGUC